UUUCCUCUCGGUGUCAGCCUUUCUCCACGUAUAAGAUCACAGCUCCUCCAAAUGCUAAAAACACAGCUCCAUCUCACAGACAAUCCCAACCAUCACAUUCACACUCGAAGCCUCCCUCCGAGGCUCUCCCACCGGACGAUCGGAUUCUGCUCAAUCUUAUCACCGAAGAAACGUUCAUCAAUCUUCUCCUCACGUAUGCCCCCACUCAUGCCCCGACUCUCUUUUUGUGUGCCGUCGGGGUACUGCAAGUCUGCAACCCAAUGCCCCGACUCGUGGGGCUGCAAUAGUGAGCUCAGCGAAGGCUACGAGAUUUUUGCGAAGAGUCCUGCAGAUAGAAGGAAAAAAAAGCUAUUAAUCCUGCCUUGGAAUGGGCUGUUUUGGGAAAAAGGAGAAGUCCAAAAGAAACAGUUCCAAUAGGCAAAAACUGAAGGUACAAUAUAUCGGUGGGCGAAAAUCUUUUAUACGGAUAUUAGAGGAGAAGCGGGAGACGGCGCCAAAUAUGGUUGCAUUCUAUAAGAAAACACAUUGAUCAAAACGGAAGGAAAAAUUCAUCAAUGCAUCAACUGAACACAAUUACAAUCUAAUGGUGGAGAGGUUAGGUGAAAAAGAGUCCAAAGAGGAUGUUGAAGAAGUGGCUGAGACUAUCUUCAAAGAUGUCUUGGGACACAGAUCUGGGUACGCAGUAGGGAUGGGGCACAUGGUCAUUCCGGACCCCUCUCCCUUAAUGAAGAAGAGUAGAGCAUUUAUUCGUCUAUCGAAAGAGAAUCAACGGAACAAGAGUGAUGCAGAAAUGUACAAGAGCAAACUAGAUGCUAUGAUGACUGAUAUUGAAGCGUUGAAGAAGAAUUUUUCUGAGCAUGAGAAAAUUGGAGCACUGAGUUAGAGGGAGGUAGUGAGUCUCAUAGAGAAACUCAGCGAGAUGCUUAGGCAUCUCACAUGAUGGGGUUUUUUGUGGAGGCCAUUUUUGUGGGAUAUCUUUUUUGUGGGGAUUAGUUUUUGUGGAUUGUGGUAUACUUAUGUAACAAUCUAAUGGCCAUGGACUUAUGUCCCUCAAUUAAGGGUAUAGUUACUUUAAAAUUAUAGUUAGGGUAGAUAUCUAAAAAACUGGUAUUCAAAGGGAAGAUGCGAGGUUGACUUUUUGAGUUGUUGGUAGUCUUUGAUUAUUAUGAAAGGGUAAUUUCUAAAACAGACAUUGUAAAAAUAUUAAUGCUAAUUUUUGUGAUUUGCAUAAAGAUGCAAAACUAAGUGAAAAUGCUGAUAUUAUAGUC